UAUCACCUGAAUUCUCUCUUUCUCCCAGAGUCUUGAUUGAUCGAUGACCUCUUGGCUUCGCUGAUUCCGAUCUGAUCUGUGUAUUUUAAACAUCGUUGUGUAACUGUUAAGAGGUAGUUCUGCCCCCCCCCCCAAAGAUGAAGACGAAGCAAAGCAAAAAAAAAAUACUUGAGGAAAAAACUACCUAAUUUUAGCAAGAGGUCAUCCCUGAAAACCAGAUCGCUUUAGGCUUCCCCUCUGAGCUAAAUGUUCUUAGUGUUUCUGUUUCAUUAAAUGUACUGUAUUAUCUUUUUUUUUCUUAUUUUUUUUAAUCUUUCAGUGAUUCGUUUGUCGUCCACACACUACCGUAUGCAGUAUUCCUACCCAAUUCAAGUCAAACACUUAAACAACCAGAGGGAGUCCUGUCUAUCUGCCAUAUGCCAUCUUCUGUCCUGGAGUCAACAGUUAUCAGUGGGUUGCAGUAUUUUUCUCAUUGUAGCCAAUUUUCUUGUACAGUUUUAUGCAACUUUCACAUGGAUGUUUAUGACUUUAUCUGCUGCCACAAAAAUUUAGAAAUUCUGUAGAUAGAGAUUACUGUGCAAUGGAAAAUAAAAGUGGAAAAUGUA